rnacentral:rRNA from 1 species
GACCCCAGGUCAGGCGGGACCACCCGCUGAGUUUAAGCAUAUCAAUAAGCGGAGG